UGACUAUAUCGUGGUGUCCGGCGGACCACAA
rnacentral:sRNA from 1 species